rnacentral:ribozyme from 1 species
UUUUUUUUUUUUUUUUUUUUUUUUUUUUUUUUUUUCCGCGCUCGC